GACGAACGCUGGCGGCGUGCUUAACACAUGCAAGUCGAACGGAAAGGCUCCAGCUUGCUGGAGUACUCGAGUGGCGAACGGGUGAGUAACACGUGGGUAAUCUGCCCUGCACUCUGGGAUAAGCCUGGGAAACUGGGUCUAAUACUGGAUAUGACCUUUCUCCUUAUGGGGUUUGGUGGAAAGUUUUUCGGUGUAGGAUGAGCCCGCGGCCUAUCAGCUUGUUGGUGGGGUGAUGGCCUACCAAGGCGACGACGGGUAGCCGGCCUGAGAGGGUGAUCGGCCACAUUGGGACUGAGAUACGGCCCAGACUCCUACGGGAGGCAGCAGUGGGGAAUAUUGCACAAUGGGCGGAAGCCUGAUGCAGCGACGCCGCGUGAGGGAUGACGGCCUUCGGGUUGUAAACCUCUUUCAGCAGGGACGAAGCGUAAGUGACGGUACCUGCAGAAGAAGCACCGGCUAACUAUGU
rnacentral:rRNA from 1 species